UCUGCUGUGUGGACGAACCACGUUCAGCCGCCUCAUCAGGGCUUGGGUUCCCACUUCUGGGCUCUCAUGAGUGAUGUUGCUGUGAACGUCCGUGAACACGUGUUUGUGAGACAUUUUCACGUGGCGCCAUUUCCGUCCCAGGAGCUCAGGCACCCGGGCAGGAUGAGCAAGUGCUGGGAAGAAGCCAUUUCUAGUGCAGGGCUCUCACCCCACUCGGUGGCCACCCUGCUGUGGUCCAAGUGAGGGCAGUGGGGCGCAGAGGCCGCGCUGUGGUCGAGUGAGGAUAGUGGGGCGCAGAGGCCGUGCUGUGGUCGAGUGAGGAUAGUGGGGCGCAGAGGCCGGUGCUGUGGUCGAGUGAGGAUAGUGGGGCGCAGAGGCCGCGCUGUGGUCGAGUGAGGAUAGUGGGGCGCAGAGGCCGUGCUGUGGUCGAGUGAGGGAUAGUGGGGCGCAGAGGCCGUGCUGUGGUCGAGUGAGGGUGGCGGGGUGCAGAGGCCGGUGCCCUGGUGGGCACUGUACCCGCUCUCUGGAAGGCUGGCUCCAACAGUGCUGGGUGAUGGCAAGGAACUGUGA